rnacentral:rRNA from 1 species
UACGGGGGGGGUAAGCGGUUGUUCGGAAUUACUGGGCGUAAAGGGCUCGUAGGCGGCCAACUAAGUCAGACGUGAAAUCCCUCAGCUUAACUGGGGAACUGCGUCUGAUACUGGAUGGCUUGGAUUCGGGAGAUGGAAUGCGGAAUUCCAGGUGUAGCGGUGAAAUGACGUAGAUAUCUGGAGGAACACCGGUGGCGAAGGCGGCAUUCUGGACCGACAUUGACGCUGAGGUGCGAAAGCGUGGGGAGCAAACAGG